UACGUAGGCAGCGAGCGUUGUUCGGAAUUACUGGGCGUAAAGAGUGUGUAGGCGGUGCUCCCAGUCUGUUGUGAAAUCUCCCGGCUUAACUGGGAGGGUGCAGCGGAAACUAGAGUGCUAGAGGGUGGGAGAGGUAAGCGGAAUUCCUGGUGUAGCGGUGAAAUGCGUAGAUAUCAGGAGGAACACCUGUGGUGUAGACAGCUUGCUGGACCGCUUCUGACGCUGAGACACGAAAGCGUGGGUAGCAAACAGG
rnacentral:rRNA from 1 species